GAGAGAGAGAGAGAGAGAGAGAGAGAGAGAGAGAGAGUUUGGUCUAUACUCUUUACCGUAUCCAUCUCGAAUACCACAACGUCCCCAUAAAGCCUAACACACACCAAUAACUUCAGAGAGCCCUAACCCAGAAGCCCGAUCGGACGAAACUAAUAGGCCCGGAUGUAUUCUCAAUCACUCUAGGGCUUAGGUACACUCCCACAACUGAUAGGGCUUUCGUAGAGGUUGUCAGUAUUUCCAGGGGUAGUUUUAUGAGCACCCACAACUGAUAGGGCUUUCGUAGAGGUUGUCAGUAUUUCCAGGGGUAGUUUUAUGAGCACCCACAACUGAUAGGGCUUUCGUAGAGGUUGUGGCUAUUUCCAGGGGUAGUUUUUGAUCUCCCACAACUGAUAGGGCUUUCGUAGAGGUUGUCAGUAUUUCCAGGGGUAGUUUUAUGAUCACCCACAACUGAUAGGGCUUUCGUAGAGGUUGUCAGUAUUUCCAGGGGUAGUUUUUGAUCUCCCACAACUGAUAGGGCUUUCGUAGAGGUUGUCAGUAUUUCCAGGGGUAGUUUUAUGAUCACCCACAACUGAUAGGGCUUUCGUAGAGGUUGUGGCUAUUUCCAGGGGUAGUUUUAUGAGCACCCACAACUGAUAGGGCUUUCGUAGAGGUUGUCAGUAUUUCCAGGGGUAGUUUUAUGAUCACCCACAAUUGAUAGGGCUUUCAUAGAGGUUGUCAGUAUUUCCAGGGGUAGUUUUAUGAUCACCCACAUCUGAUAGGGCUUUCGUAGAGGUUGUCAGUAUUUCCAGGGGUAGUUUUUGAUCUCCCACAAUUGAUAGGGCUUUCGUAGAGGUUGUCAGUAUUUCCAGGGGU